rnacentral:lncRNA from 1 species
GUAUAAAAAUGCAUUGAUGUAUAAAUGUCAACUGUAUUUGGAUCAAAAUAUUCUAAUGUAAAAUUGUUUUGCUGAAUAUGAUUGGGUAAACUAUUCUAUUGUUAAAAGUGUAUUGUCAAUUCUGAUUGGGUAAAAAUAUUCCAUUGAAAAUCUGUAUUGCCAGUUCUUAUUGAGGAAAAUACAACUGCAUCAAACCCAGGACAUGAAAUAAUAUUAAGAUGUCCUCUUUUUGGUAAAAAAUGUCUCCAAAAAUUGAGAUUAAUAUAUAUAAUAAACAAACAUUUGUUUAAGGUGGUACCUAACACUACAGGGAGAUAACUCUGUAAAAUCAGCUAAACGUUUUAAUUAUGUUGUGUUGUAAAGGGUAUAUUAAGCUUCUCAAAGAUGAAAAUUGGUGUUUGUCAAACUGCUAUAUAAACAGUGUAAUUUUUCUGAUAAAAUGGUUGGUUCAAAAUUUUUGAAAUUUUCAUAGUUUUGUUAAAGAGUCAAAGUAAACACUUUGUCAAAGUUUUAUUAAAAUUAAUCGAGCCAAAUUAAUUUUAGUGAAAGUGUUGGGUACCACCUUAAUGUCAAUGUCAAAUGUAUCCUUUAGAGUUCCAACAACAAUUUCUGCACACUUUAAACACAAUUGGUUUAUUUCAAAAAAUGGCCACUAGGGAACAAUACAAUGAAGCAAAAAAGUUACAUGUAUAUUAAUAUGGCAACUAUUCAAACUUUGGUAAACAUAAUAUGGGACUUAGUAAUAACAAAAUUAAAUAAACAAAAUUAAAUAAAUGAUUAACAACCUUUGAUUCAUUAUAUUGCACAUAAGAUAGAGUCUCAAUAGGAUUGAAAAAAAUAAUAUAUGUUUUUUUAAACAUGUUCGGGUUGUUGUCUCUUUGACACAUUUCCCAUUUCCAUUCUAAAUUUUAUUAUGAAAUAUAAUUUGAGCUGUGUUAGAUAGAAAACGACCUUAUGCAAAUGAAUAUCAAAACAUCGAACUUAUUUUUGAGUUGAAAAAAAAUAUCUAUGCAAUGUCUUUAACUACAUAAUGUAUAUGAAAAUCGAGUUGAUAUAAUUCGUCUUUUAUUUCGCAUUUGAAUAUUCCAGAAAACUACAUAAAUGUAUAUGAAAAUUGAGUUGAUACAAUUCUUCUUUUAUUUUGCAUUUGAAUUUUCCAGAAUCAAUCAAACACUUGUACAUGUACAUUUUUCUGUGCACUUGCAUAAGGUCGAUUUCUAUCCAACGCACCUCAUAUUUUAUUGCAAAAUUUUAAACAGGAAAACUCAUUUCAAAUUAGAGAAAUUUAGUAUAAUUUUUGUUUCAUUAUACUUCAAUUACUUUUCACAUAUUUAUAGUAGGUUUAUAUUUGUAUGUUGGAUUCUAUAUUUGCAAUGUUUUGUACGUUGAAUUUU